UUUUUUUUUUUUUUUUUUUUUUUUUUUUUUUUUUUUUUCUAAAAAACCUGGGUGGAAGGCAAAAGCCCUAAGAAAGGGGGAAACUUUCCAAAAGACAGACA
rnacentral:ribozyme from 13 species